rnacentral:rRNA from 1 species
UACGAAGGGGGCUAGCGUUGCUCGGAAUUACUGGGCGUAAAGCGCACGUAGGCGGCUUUCUAAGUCGGGGGUGAAAUCCUGGAGCUCAACUCCAGAACUGCCUUCGAUACUGGCGAUCUUGAGUCCGGAAGAGGUGAGUGGAACUCCUAGUGUAGAGGUGGAAUUCGUAGAUAUUAGGAAGAACACCAGUGGCGAAGGCGGCUCACUGGUCCGGUACUGACGCUGAGGUGCGAAAGCGUGGGGAGCAAACAGGG